GGGGGGUGCACUGUUCAGCGCGUUUUGCGUGUAUUCAGGGCAUUUUCCUUACCCGUCGUGGGUUUUGGAUGGUCGAUUUUGGGCCGUCUAGGGCUGAGGGAUCCCCUUUUUUUCAUAAGGGUGAGGACGAUGGGGCGCUGACGCGAUACGACCCGUCUUGAAACACGGACCAAGGAGUCCAGCAUAUGUGCGAGUCAAAGGGUGUUGAAACCUGAGGGCGCAGUGAAAGCAAUUAUUGAUUUUCAAUCUAAGUAUUUGCAGUUUAAGGCGGCAUACAAUGGUUGAUUGUAGGUCCGACCUAGAGCAGAUAUGCUGGGACCCGAAAGAUGGUGAACUAUGCCGGAGUAGGGCGAAGCCAGAGGAAACUCUGGUGGAGGCUCGUAGCGGUGCUGACGUGCAAAUCGCUCGUCUAACUCGGGUAUAGGGGCGAAAGACUAAUCGAACCAUCUAGUAGCUGGUUUCCUCCGAAGUUUCUCUCAGGAUAGCAGGCCGACGAGUAAGUUGUUGUGUGCGGUAAAGCGAAUGAUUAGCGUAUUUGGGGGCGAUUAGCCUUCAGUCGAUUCUCAAACUUUAAAUGCGCACGGAUGUUGCCGCUUGGGUGGGCGGUAUCGCUAAAAACGUCGGCCUUGUGGGCCACUUUUGGUAAGCAGAACUGGCGAUACGGGAUGAACCGUAAGCGUGGUUAAGGCGCCUAAUUGUCCGCUUAUAGAUUCCAAAAAAGGUGUUGAUUCAUCGAGACAGCAGGACGGUGGCCAUGGAAGUCGGAAUCCGCUAAGGAGUGUGUAACAACUCACCUGCCGAAUGAAUUAGCCCUGAAAAUGGAUGGCGCUUAAGCGGGUAGCCGACACCACGCCGUCUGAGUAAGUGGG
rnacentral:rRNA from 1 species